CGGGGUUGACAGGUGUAAACUUCCCUACUACUCAGCCCCAAAUACCCUCAUAGCAAUCCGGCAUUCUUUGCUCUCCAGGAGCUUUAAGCCAACUAGCCAAAACUGGACAGAGGAGAGCUGUGCUAUCCCAUUUACCUAUGCAGGCAAGAAGUAUUUUAAUUGCAUUAGCCGUGAUUCUGUGAGCAACUGGUGUUCUCUAGACGAAGAAUAUUUAGGGAGAUGGAAAUAUUGUACAAAGGACGACUAUGCCCCUUGUUACUUUCCCUUUGCCUAUAAUGGCAAACUGUGUGACACUUGCACAGUCCAUGGGAGUAUGUUGGGGAUAGCAUGGUGCUCACUCACUGAAAACUUUAACAAGGAUGGAGCUUGGAAGAGUUGCUUCUGAAACAGGGUGACUGAUUAGAAAAAGAAGCAGAACUCUUUCACAUUGACAUCAAAACCAUGUUACAUUACUGGUUCCAGUGACCCCACCCUCAGCCGUGGAUUCAGACCAGACUGUGAAACCCAAGUGUGGAAGAUCAAGAAAUCUCAAGCUUGAAGGCCAUGCCCUGAGGGCCAGAGGUGAUGAAAUCCUUUCCCUGCAGCUCUAAGUGCUCCCUGCCCAUCAACAAACCACUGUCUCUACAGGCGUGACUUUGUUAUCCUGUCUUAAAGAAUAAACCAUCUUUCAAAUGGGA